GGAGAGGUGGCAGAGUGGUCGAAUGCGAUGCACUUGAAAUGCAUUGUGCCAGAAAUGGUACCGUGGGUUCGAAUCCCACCCUCUCCGCCA
rnacentral:tRNA from 1 species